AGUGAACGCUGGCGGCGUGCCUAAUACAUGCAAGUCGAACGGAGUGGCGCACGGGUGAGUAAGGUAUGUAUAAUCUGCCCUACACUAGAGGACGACAGCUGGAAACGACUGCUACUACUCUAUAUUGUAGGAUGAGGCUAUAUUGUAUCAGCUAGUUGGUGAGGUAGUGGCUCACCAAGGGUAUGACGCAUAACUGGUCUGAGAGGAUGAGCAGUCACACUGGACCGGAGACACGGUUCAGACUCAUACCGCAGUGAGCAGUAGGGAAUAUUGCUCAAGGGGGGAAACUCUGAAGCAGCAUCGCGGCGUGGAGUACGACACUUGUCGGAGAGUAAACUCCUUUUGUUAGGGAUGCGUUACCCAACGAAUAAGCACCGGCUAACUCCGUGCCAGCCGCCGCGGUAAUAC
rnacentral:rRNA from 1 species